CUCCCCUCGCUCAUCCCUUGUUCACACAAACACAAGACAGCUCUGUGUUUCUGUCCCCUUCUUCUAGGGUUAGAUGUGAUGAGAGGUAAGAGGUGUUGUCUGGUGUGGAUCUGCAAGCUCACUAACUAUGGCGGCAGUACUAAGAUCUGAUCUAUAUGUCCAGGUUUUGCAUUUGGAGGCAGUAAACUGGAGGCAGCAACUGCAUAACUUGCGAGAUGCUCGAGGGGGGGAGGGGGUAGUUUUCAUCUCUGAAUAUAUUUUGGGUGCAACUUAUACCCUAAAUGGUUCAUAAGGGGCAGAUUUGAUCCCAGGUUGGAUGAUGAUCAUGCCAAUGAUUUUGCCGCAAGUUAUGCAGUUGCUGCCUCAAGCUUGCCACAUCCCAAUGUCAAACCAAUGACUUAAGAUGAAGAAGCCGUUUGAAUAUGAAAUCAAAGAGAAAAACAACCAUGCAACAAGCCUCUGUAGUCUGCACAAUCGCCAUAUUAUUACCGCCAGCUAGAAUGCUUUUCAAUGUACAAUGUGACUUUAUUUCCCUCGCUCCAUGCAAUAUAUCUAUGAGCUACACCACAUGCAAGGCUACAAUGCAGUUGUAAUCUUGAAAAUGAUAGUCAAAACUUAUGCAUGAAUGUAUGUUAUCUUUCAAUUUAUAUGAAUACAUGAAUUUUCUCAA